GCUCCAUACCAUAACUGUCAGCCGUGACAUCUAUCUUAAGAGCGUAGCACUUUUCAAGUUCUUUUGUGUCUGUCAUUCAGCUAUUGACACGCUGUGUGAAUUCCUCUCCUUGCAGACAAAACUCUUGCUGACUACCCAGAUUUCAUGCCCUCCAUGUGGAAUGGGGGGAGAGGUUAUUUCUUCUGGAUUUAAAAAAGAUAAAAGGCUGGAAUAUGCUCAAAGAAGAGGGAUAUUUUCAACCCUGGUCACACUGACAGUCUCACAGUUGAAAAGGAACUGCUGGGGCAUAGCAUAUGGAAACUUAAGUAGUGCUUCUAAGAAAACCUGCAGGUCUAAAAUAAGUGGGACAAGAACACAGAGGAAUUGUUACUCAAGAGAAGAUGGGGUAGGGCUUGCUUUGCCACAUGUGCAGCCCCGGUCAGAGAGGUCAGCAAGUCCUGUUUCAGCUUCUCUAAACUCUGCCUGACACAGGAGGGAAGAGAGAAUCACUAGAAACCUAAAUUAGAGCAGCAGUGAAUGAAGGUUGUGAACAGCAGUGGAACAGCUGCCACGUUUUACAGCUUG
rnacentral:lncRNA from 14 species